UGCAAGUCGAACGCUUUUUCUUUCACCGGAGCUUGCUCCACCGAAAGAAAAAGAGUGGCGAACGGGUGAGUAACACGUGGGUAACCUGCCCAUCAGAAGGGGAUAACACUUGGAAACAGGUGCUAAUACCGUAUAACACUAUUUUCCGCAUGGAAGAAAGUUGAAAGGCGCUUUUGCGUCACUGAUGGAUGGACCCGCGGUGCAUUAGCUAGUUGGUGAGGUAACGGCUCACCAAGGCAACGAUGCAUAGCCGACCUGAGAGGGUGAUCGGCCACACUGGGACUGAGACACGGCCCAGACUCCUACGGGAGGCAGCAGUAGGGAAUCUUCGGCAAUGGACGAAAGUCUGACCGAGCAACGCCGCGUGAGUGAAGAAGGUUUUCGGAUCGUAAAACUCUGUUGUUAGAGAAGAACAAGGAUGAGAGUAAAAUGUUCAUCCCUUGACGGUAUCUAACCAGAAAGCCACGGCUAACUACGUGCCAGCAGCCGCGGUAAUACGUAGGUGGCAAGCGUUGUCCGGAUUUAUUGGGCGUAAAGCGAGCGCAGGCGGUUUCUUAAGUCUGAUGUGAAAGCCCCCGGCUCAACCGGGGAGGGUCAUUGGAAACUGGGAGACUUGAGUGCAGAAGAGGAGAGUGGAAUUCCAUGUGUAGCGGUGAAAUGCGUAGAUAUAUGGAGGAACACCAGUGGCGAAGGCGGCUCUCUGGUCUGUAACUGACGCUGAGGCUCGAAAGCGUGGGGAGCGAACAGGAUUAGAUACCCUGGUAGUCCACGCCGUAAACGAUGAGUGCUAAGUGUUGGAGGGUUUCCGCCCUUCAGUGCUGCAGCAAACGCAUUAAGCACUCCGCCUGGGGAGUACGACCGCAAGGUUGAAACUCAAAGGAAUUGACGGGGGCCCGCACAAGCGGUGGAGCAUGUGGUUUAAUUCGAAGCAACGCGAGAACCUUACCAGGUCUUGACAU
rnacentral:rRNA from 1 species